rnacentral:rRNA from 1 species
UCCGUCGCAGGCGUAGGAAAUUUGAGAAGACCUGUCCUUAGUACGAGAGGACCGGGAUGGACGUACCUCUGGUGUACCAGUUGUCCUGCCAAGGGCAUGGCUGGGUAGCUAUGUACGGAAUGGAUACGCGCGGAAAGCAUCGAAGCGCGAAGCCAACUUCAAGAUAAGAUUUCCCACCGCAAGGGUAAGACCCCAGAAAGACUAUCUGGUUGAUAGGUCGAAGGAGUAAGUGCAGCAAUGUAUUUAGCUUAUCGAUACUAAUAGGUCGAGGACUUGACCAAU